AGAGUUUGAUCCUGGCUCAGAACGAACGCUGGCGGCGUGCUUAACACAUGCAAGUCGAACGCGAAAUUUUUCUUCGGAAAGAGAGUAGAGUGGCGCACGGGGGAGUGGCGCACGGGUGAGUAACGCGUAAGUUAUCUACCUCGGCAUCCGGAAUAACUCACCGAAAGGUGUGCUAAUACCGGAUACGUUGAGCAAUCAAGAAAGGUGGCCUCUGAAUAUGCUACUGUGCUGAGAUGAGCUUGCGUACCAUUAGCUAGUUGGUAGGGUAAUGGCCUACCAAGGCGACGAUGGUUAGCGGGUCUGAGAGGAUGAUCCGCCACACUGGAACUGAAACACGGACCAGACUCCUACGGGAGGCAGCAGUGAGGAAUAUUGCGCAAUGGGGGAAACCCUGACGCAGCGACGCCGCGUGGAUGAUGAAGGCCUUCGGGUCGUAAAAUCCUGUCAGAUGGAAAGAAAUGCAUAGUGGUUAAUACCUGCUAUGUUUGACGGUACUAUCGAAGGAAGCACCGGCUAACUCCGUGCCAGCAGCCGCGGUAAUACGGAGGGUGCAAGCGUUGUUCGGAAUUACUGGGCGUAAAGCGCGCGUAGGCGGUGUGUCAAGUCAGAUGUGAAAGCCCUCGGCUCAACCAUGGACGUGCAUUUGAAACUGGCAGACUUGAGUACUGGAGGGGGUGGUGGAAUUCCUGGUGUAGGAGUGAAAUCCGUAGAUAUUAGGAGGAACACCGGUGGCGAAGGCGACCUCCUGGACCGAUAUUGACGCUGAGGCGCGAAAGCGUGGGGAGCAAACAGGAUUAGAUACCCUGGUAGUCCACGCCGUAAACGAUGAGUACUAGGUGUUGCGGGUAUUGACCCCUGCAGUGCCGAAGCUAACGCAUUAGUACCCCCGCCUGGGAGUACGGCCGCAAGGCUAAAACUCAAAGGAAUUGACGGGGGCCCGCACAAGCGGUGGAGCAUGUGGUUUAAUUCGACGCAACGCGAAGAACCUUACCUGGGCUUGACAUCCCGAUCGUACCUGCUGGAAACUGGAGAGUGCCUCGUAAGAGGAGCCCGGAGACAGGUGGUGCAUGGUUGUCGUCAGCUCGUGUCGUGAGAUGUUGGGUUAAGUCCCGCAACGAGCGCAACCCUUGUCUUUAGUUGCCAUCAUUUUUAGUUAUCAAUCUAAAGAGACUGCCGGUGUUAAACCGGAGGAAGGCGGGGAUGACGUCAAGUCCUCAUGGCCCUUAUGUCCAGGGCUACACACGUACUACAAUGGCCGGUACAAAGGGCAGCAAAGCCGCGAGGUGGAGCCAAUCCCAAAAAGCCGGUCUCAGUUCGGAUUGGAGUCUGCAACUCGACUCCAUGAAGUUGGAAUCGCUAGUAAUCGUGGAUCAGCACGCCACGGUGAAUACGUUCCCGGGCCUUGUACACACCGCCCGUCACACCACGGGAGUUGGUUGUACCAGAAGCAGUUGAGCUAACUUUCGGGAAGCAGGCUGCCAAGGUAUGAUUAGUAACUGGGGUGAAGUCGUAACAAGGUAACC
rnacentral:rRNA from 1 species